rnacentral:rRNA from 1 species
AACGAACGCUGGCGGCGUGCCUAACACAUGCAAGUCGUGCGAGAAAGUUCCUUCGGGAGCGAGUAAAGCGGCGCACGGGUGAGUAACACGUAGGUAACCUGCCCCCCAGUCUGGAACAACUAGAGGAAACUCUAGCUAAUGCCGGAUGAGACCACGAUCCCUUCGGGGGUUGCGGCCAAAGAUGGCCUCUACUUGUAAGCUAUCGCUGAGGGAUGGGCCUGCGGGCCAUUAGCUUGUUGGUGAGGUAACGGCUCACCAAGGCUGUGAUGGUUAGCUGGUCUGAGAGGAUGACCAGCCACACUGGGACUGAGACACGGCCCAGACUCCUACGGGAGGCAGCAGUGGGGAAUAUUGCGCAAUGGGCGAAAGCCUGACGCAGCGACGCCGCGUGGGUGAUGAAGGCCU